CCUACGGGUGGCAGCAGUGAGGAAUAUUUGUCAAUGGGCGCGAGCCUGAACCAGCCAAGCCGCGUGAAGGAUGACUGCCCUACGGGUUGUAAACCUCUUUUAUGAAGGAAUAAAGUGAGGCACGAGUGCCUUUUUGUGUGUACUUGAUGAAUACGGAUCGGCUAACUCCGUGCCAGCAGCCGCGGUAAUACGGAGGAUCCGAGCGUUAUCCGGAUUUAUUGGGUUUAAAGGGAGCGUAGAGGGGUUGUUAAGUCCGUGGUGAAAGGUGGGGGCUCAACCGGAGAAUUGCAAUUGAUACUGGGAGUCUAGAGUACAGGAGAGGUAGGCGGAAUGCGCGGUGUAGCGGUGAAAUGCUUAGAUAUCGCGAAGAACUCCGAUGGCGAAGGCAGGUUACUAGACAGCCACUGACACUGAGGCACGAAAGUGAGGGUAGCGAACAGGAUUAGAUACCCGGGUAGUC
rnacentral:rRNA from 1 species